UACGUAGGGUGCAAGCGUUGUCCGGAAUUAUUGGGCGUAGAGAGCUCGUAGGCGGUUUGUCGCGUCGAAUGUGAAAACCCGGGGCUCAACCCCGGGCCUGCAUUCGAUACGGGCAGACUAGAGUUCGGUAGGGGAGUCUGGAAUUCCUGGUGUAGCGGUGAAAUGCGCAGAUAUCAGGAGGAACACCGGUGGCGAAGGCGGGUCUCUGGGCCGAUAUCGACGCUGAGGAGCGAAAGCGUGGGGAGCGAACAGG
rnacentral:rRNA from 1 species